GGGCGACGGUGAAAGUACGUAUUUUAUUUUAGAUAAGCAUGACAUUUUAAUAAAAAAAAAAAUAAUUUCGAUACUUAACAUUCUGAGUGUUUAAUCAUGUGUUCUGUCUUUCAUCACCACAAUUCCAAUUCAUUACUGUUAUUUUUGACAAAACUGCCAUAUUUUCUGUUGAACUAUAGGUGAAACUUUUCCCCUGAGAGAUCAGAGUACUUCAGCAGACUCACUGAGAAUAGUGAUAGUUGAUAAGACUGGAGCAGGGAAAAGUGCUACAGGAAACAUCAUCCUUGGGGAAGAAAAUGCCUUUAAAGAGGAUCCAUCCUUUGAUUCUGUGACCAAGAACUGUGUCAAAAUAAAUGGUUAGGAGUGAGAUUCACACAAGAAGAAGCAAAGGCAGUGGAAUGGAUCCAGCGUAAUUUUGGUGAAGAUGCCUCUUCAUAUAGGCCUACAAUCAUACUGUUUACUCAUGUUGAUGACUUGGGAGGGAGACAAAUGGAGGACCACUUGGGAACAUGUAGCAAAAUCAAAGGAGUUUUUGAGAGUUGUGCUGGCAGAUAUCAUUCUUUCAACAAUAAAGAACAUGAUAACACCCGAGUCAAAGUCUUACCGCAAAAAAUUGAUGCCAUGCUAGCUGAGAGUUCACAACCAUACUACACCAAUGAGAUGUACAGGAAAGCUCAGGUAGUGGAGCAGAAGAGAAGAAAGGAAGAGAGGAAAAGGGAACUGGAAGA